rnacentral:rRNA from 1 species
AACGAACGCUGGCGGCAUGCCUAACACAUGCAAGUCGUACGCCUCACUUCGGUGAGGAGUGGCGGACGGGUGAGUAACACGUUAGUACCUGCCCCAAAGUGGGGAAUAACUGCCCGAAAGGGUAGCUAAUACCCCAUAGUCUCCGGUUUAUCCGGAGUAAAGAUUUAUCGCUUUGGGAGGGGCUUGCGUUUGAUUAGCUAGUUGGUGAGGGUAAUGGCCCACCAAGGCGACGAUCAAUAGCUGGAUCGAGAGGUUGACCAGCCACACUGGGACUGAGAUACGGCCCAGACUCCUACGGGAGGCAGCAGUGGGGAAUUUUGGACAAUGGGCGAAAGCCUGAUCCAGCCAUGCCGCGUGCAGGAUGAAGGCCUUCGGGUUGUAAAGUCCUUUUCUUGAGGGAAGAACUGCCGGGGAGGAAAGUGCCCUUGGCUUGACGGUACCUCAGGAAUAAGCAACGGCUAACUCCGUG